CAGGCCUAACACAUGCAAGUCGAACGGUAACAGGAAGCAGCUUGCUGCUUCGCUGACGAGUGGCGGACGGGUGAGUAAUGUCUGGGAAACUGCCCGAUGGAGGGGGAUAACUACUGGAAACGGUAGCUAAUACCGCAUAAUGUCGCAAGACCAAAGAGGGGGACCUUCGGGCCUCUUGCCAUCGGAUGUGCCCAGAUGGGAUUAGCUUGUUGGUGAGGUAACGGCUCACCAAGGCGACGAUCCCUAGCUGGUCUGAGAGGAUGACCAGCCACACUGGAACUGAGACACGGUCCAGACUCCUACGGGAGGCAGCAGUGGGGAAUAUUGCACAAUGGGCGCAAGCCUGAUGCAGCCAUGCCGCGUGUAUGAAGAAGGCCUUCGGGUUGUAAAGUACUUUCAGCGGGGAGGAAGGUGUUGUGGUUAAUAACCGCAACAAUUGACGUUACCCGCAGAAGAAGCACCGGCUAACUCCGUGCCAGCAGCCGCGGUAAU
rnacentral:rRNA from 1 species